UGGGCUCAGUUAAGGGAAGUUCCUAUGCUUCUUCUCUCUUGGGAAUAUGCCAAACAGAGUUUCACAUAAUUGGUUGUGUCUCUUUCCUCAUCAGGGAAAGCUUGUCAUUCAGGGACACUCACUAUAGUCCUUUCUUGUCUCUCCAGGAUUGGUCCAGCUGGUUGGAGGAGAUGGGCCCUGUAUUGGGAGGGUAGAAGUCAAUUCUGGAAGAAAACGGAGCACAGUCUGUGAUUGGAAUUUUAGUCUUUCUACUGCCAAAGUCAUCUGUGCUGAAUUAGAAUUUGGGACUGUAGUCUCUAUCAUGAAAAAAGCCCACUUUGGAAGAGGAAAUGGAUACAUCUGGGAUAAAGAAUUCCAAUGUAAUGGAAGUGAACCGCUUCUGUCAUUAUGCCCCACAGUACCACUUCCACAGGGAAAAUGCAGUCACAGCAUGGAUGUUGGAGUCAUUUGUUCAAGUAAAACUUUCACAAUGCUUUUAUGCUACUCCCACAUUGCACUUGAUACUGAAAUUAGAAAAUCACAAUCACUUUUCUAAAGCCCUGUCUGUUUCUCCCCAGGGUACACAGAUUUUCGUCUGAUGAAUGGAAGCUCCCAAUGUGAAGGAAGAGUAGAGAUCCAAGUUUUUGGGACCUGGAGAACUCUGUGACUCCCACUGGGACCUGGGAGAAGCCAAUGUUCUCUGCCAUCAGCUCAACUGUGGUGUUGCCAUGAAGCCUCCAGAAGAUGUAUAUUUUGGCAAAGGAAGUGUCCCGACCAUAAGGGAUACAUUUUACUGCACAGGAACCGAGUCUCAUUUAUGGAAUUGUUCAGUGACUAUCCUGGGGACUUCUCCAUGUUCCAAAGGAAAAGUUGCUUCUGUGGUCUGCUCAGGAAACCAGACACAGUCCCUCAUGUUCAAUAAUUCACAGUCUGACCAGGAAAAGGUACCUGUCUUAUUUUCAGGUAAGAAAGAAAGUCGGACAAAAUGAGGAAACCCUUCUCAUUCCUGGGGAAAAUGGGCAAUUAAUCUGCAUUUCUUCUUGUAGAAAUUGGACAGCUUCGUCUGUUGAAUGGAAGAGGUCCCUGCUCUGGAAGAGUUGAAGUCUAUUACAAUGGUACCUGGGGGACUGUCUGUGAUGAUUCUUGGGACUUGAGCGAUGCCCAUGUGGUGUGCAGGCAACUGGGCUGUGGAGUGGCCCUCAAAGCCAUGGUCUCUGCUCACUUUGGACAAGGAUCAGGGCCCAUCUGGCUAGAUGAGCUUAGCUGCUCUGGAAAUGAAUCCCACCUAGGAGAGUGCCCUUCCCUCCAUUGGGGGUCGGCAUGACUGCAGGCACAAAGAGGAUGCAGGAGUCCUCUGCUCAGGUCCGGGCCAUACACAUCCUACUAACAGUGAGGGACUUAUGUGAGCACUUAGGAGGUGGGGCUUAGAGACGUGAGGGAGGAGGAGCUGAUUCAGACAGGGAGGAGGACUUCCUGCCCCAACCACAGCCCUUCCUAGAGUGCAGUUUUAAGGCAAGACCUCUUAUCUGAAGGAUGAUUUUAUUUAUCUCCUACAUUUGUAUAGAUGGGUCUCUGCCCUUAUGAAGGGGUGUAUGUGGGUGUGUGUGUGUGUGUGUGUGUGUGUGUGCGUGUAUAUUUUCUUAUACUUCAUUUCCUAAUAGAGUGCUAUUCUCAGAAUAGGUAUACAUGUCUGCUGAUUUACUUUUCUAUUGGUGGUUCACAGAUACACACUAAUUUUGAAACUGUGAAACUGAGUAGUGAAAUCACAGUAAAGGCAUUCCUGUCUUUUUAAUGGGGGACACAAGAUAGAGAGAAUUGUACAGAAAUAUAGAGGAAGGAAUUCUG
rnacentral:lncRNA from 1 species